rnacentral:rRNA from 1 species
GAUGAACGCUGGCGGCGUGCCUAAUACAUGCAAGUCGAGCGAACAGACGAGGAGCUUGCUCCUCUGAUGUUAGCGGCGGACGGGUGAGUAACACGUGGAUAACCUACCUAUAAGACUGGGAUAACUUCGGGAAACCGGAGCUAAUACCGGAUAACAUGUUGAACCGCAUGGUUCAACAGUGAAAGACGGUCUUGCUGUCACUUAUAGAUGGAUCCGCGCCGCAUUAGCUAGUUGGUAAGGUAAAGGCUUACCAAGGCAACGAUGCGUAGCCGACCUGAGAGGGUGAUCGGCCACACUGGAACUGAGACACUGUCCAGACUCCUACGGGAGGCAGCAGUAAGGAAUCUUCCGCAAUGGGCGAAAGCCUGACGGAGCAACGCCGCGUGAGUGAAGAAGGUCUUCGGAUCGUAAAACUCUGUUAUUAGGGAAGAACAAAUGUGUAAGUAACUAUGCACGUCUUGACGGUACCUAAUCAGAAAGCCACGGCUAACUACGUG